UAGGGAAUCUUCGGCAAUGGACGAAAGUCUGACCGAGCAACGCCGCGUGAGUGAAGAAGGUUUUCGGAUCGUAAAACUCUGUUGUUAGAGAAGAACAAGGACGUUAGUAACUGAACGUCCCCUGACGGUAUCUAACCAGAAAGCCACGGCUAACUACGUGCCAGCAGCCGCGGUAAUACGUAGGUGGCAAGCGUUGUCCGGAUUUAUUGGGCGUAAAGCGAGCGCAGGCGGUUUCUUAAGUCUGAUGUGAAAUCCCCGGGCUCAACCUGGGAACUGCAUCUGAUACUGGCAAGCUUGAGUCUCGUAGAGGGGGGUAGAAUUCCAGGUGUAGCGAUGAAAUGCGUAGAGAUCUGGAGGAAUACCGGUGGCGAAGGCGGCCCCCUGGACGAAGACUGACGCUCAGGUGCGAAAGCGUGGGGAGCAAACAGG
rnacentral:rRNA from 1 species